UUGAUUCGCCGACAAGGGAGAAGAGAGGUCCUGAAAGGCGGGGCUCAGCGCCUCUCCUUGGUAGUUCCCGCUUCUGUCCGGUGCGCAGUGCUGGCUCGCCUUGACCUUCCUCUCACCCUGAGCCUCGAACCUUGGGCUCCACCCUGAGUGUAUUCCUUCCUUUGUCAGGGCCUUUUCAUGUUCGGUUUUUUCCUUGGCGUUAGAGCGAACCAGGCGCUUUCAUGCUGAGCUACAUUUCCACUGCUUUUGUAUUUUUUAAAUUUUGAGGCCAGAUCUUGCUAAGUGGCUUGCUCAAGAUCUUAACUGGUGAAAAGCGAUGGCGACAGGCAGACCCAGGCGCAUAUCCCAGCUAAGAGCAUCAGUCGGGAUGUUCCAGCUAACACAAAGCCACCUACCUUCAAGCUGGCUUCGGAAAGUUGGAGGCCUUACGGGCUCAGGGAAUGGCAAAGUCCAGGAAAGCCCGGAGCAGCAGCCCUGAGUCUGCACACUUGGGAGAGGCACCCAGGUCAGGCUACAACAGAGAAGCAGGAGACAGAAGCGACAUUUAAAAGUCUGGCUUGGGGCUGGGGAUUAAGCUCAGCGGCAUAAGCACCUGCCUUGUAAGCAGGCGGUCGUGAGUUCAAUCCCUGGUACUGAUAAAAAAAAAAAAAAAAAAAAAAGAAAGAAAGAAAGUUAAAAGUCUAGUUCAAAUUGUUCAGAUCGUGUGUUGGAUCUUUGGUUUUUCCUACCACAGAGCAGCCCGGAGCGCAGCCCUGAAAGGGCUGAGAAUCAGAGUUUACAAGGACGCUGGGCACCCAGAGUGCAUCCAUGGGUGGGUCAGGCAGAGGGAGCAUCUCUGACAGAUGGGCAGCACCGGAGCCCUCCUGAGCUGCUCCUGGCCAGCUGAUCCAUGAAGAGGGCGCUGUGGUUACAGUUGGGCUGAGGCCAGAGGUGUCAAGGUGGGGACCCCUCUCCCAACAGGACAGAUUGCCCCACUAACUGUCCCCUGAGAAGUGGGCCAGCAGGACCUGCAGAACACGUCGGAAGACUAAAUGAAGGGUUUAACCGCAGGGCAUCCCGUUGCAGGGUGAGCCUGCCUGGCGGGUCCUGCCUUCUAGCCUUUGUACAACCAGGAAGAGGAGGUGGAACUGUGCCCGUGGGAAAGUACAGCGUACAAAGCCAGUGACACAGCAGCCUCUUGAGUUGGUUCUGCCUGAUCAGGGUGACGCAUACCUGUAACCCCAGCUAUUCGAAAGGCGGAGGAAGGACAGCUAAUUUGAACCCAGCCUCAGCAACUCAAUGGGACACUAUGAAAAAGGCAUGGGUGGGAGGGGCUGGGGCUGGACCUAAGUUCAAUCCCCUACCCCACAGGAAAAGAAAGCACGCUGACACCAGCGGUGGUGGUACAUGGCUUUAAUUCCAGUUACUUGGGAGGCCAGAGCAGAAAGGUUGCAAGAGACUAACUUGGGCAAUCCAGAUGCUACCUCAAAAUAAAAGUGCUGCGGGUAUUGUAGCUGAGUGAGAGUGCUUGUGUGGCAUGUACAAGGCUAAUCCCUGGACCCACACCCUGGACCUCAGCAAGGGUUGGAAGAAAAUUCUAAAUCACAUUGAAAAUUAACUUGCCGGGGCCUGGGGAUUUAGCUCAGCGGCAUAAGCGCCUGCCUUGCAAGCAGGCAGUCCUGAGUUCGAUCCCCGGUACCGAUAAAAAGGAAAAAGACAAAAAAAAAAAAAAAAAAAGAAAGAAAA